AGAGUUUGAUCAUGGCUCAGGACGAACGGCUGGCGGCGUGCUUAACACAUGCAAGUCGAGCGGUAAGGCUCCUUCGGGAGUACACGAGCGGCGAACGGGUGAGUAACACGUGAGCAAUCUGCCCUUCACUUUGGGAUAACUCCGGGAAACCGGUGCUAAUACCGAAUGCGACCACUUCAGGCAUCUGACGGUGGUGGAAAGUUCCGGCGGUGAAGGAUGAGCUCGCGGCCUAUCAGCUUGUUGGUGAGGUAAUGGCUCACCAAGGCUUCGACGGGUAGCCGGCCUGAGAGGGUGACCGGCCACACUGGGACUGAGACACGGCCCAGACUCCUACGGGAGGCAGCAGUGGGGAAUAUUGGACAAUGGGCGAAAGCCUGAUCCAGCAACGCCGCGUGAGGGAUGACGGCCUUCGGGUUGUAAACCUCUUUCAGCAGGGACGAAGCGAAAGUGACGGUACCUGCAAAAGAAGCACCGGCCAACUACGUG
rnacentral:rRNA from 1 species